rnacentral:piRNA from 1 species
UGAUAUUCUAUAAGUCAGCCCUUUAAAAUA